GGAAGGAUCAUUAAAAGAGAUAUCUUAUCACCUAAAGUUUUGCCUUCGGGGAAAGCUUUAGUGAUAAACCUCUCCACCCUUUGCUUGUUAUACCAAUUGUUGCUUUGGCGAGUCGUGGUAAAAUAAGGACUUGUCUUUAUUUUCCCCAUUGGCUUUCGAGCUGAUGCGUUGCUCGCCAAUAGCCAAAAAUUUAAAACCUUGAAAUAUCUAUUGAAGUCUGAAUUAUAAACUAUGAAAAUAGCCUAAAACUUUCAACAACGGAUCUCUUGGUUCUGGCAUCGAUGAAGAACGCAGCGAAAUGCGAUAAGUAAUGUGAAUUGCAGAAUUCAGUGAAUCAUCGAAUCUUUGAACGCACAUUGCGCCCUCUGGUAUUCCGGGGGGCAUGCCUGUUCGAGCGUCAUUUUCACCCCUCAAGCUUAGCUUGGUAUUGGGUGCUCAUCAUUCUCCUUGGGGAGAGAGGUGUGCCCGAAAUUUAGCGGCGAUGCAGCCGAACUCCCUAGCGCAGUGACUACAAUUACAACGCUACAAGGAGGUUUCGACUUGUGUUUGCCGGACAACAACCAAAUUUUUUACGAUUGACCUCGGAUCAGGUAGGGAUACCCGCUGAACUUAAGCAUAUCAAUAAGCGGAGGAAAAGAAACCAACAGGGAUUGCCUCAGUAACGGCGAGUGAAGCGGCAACAGCUCAAAUUUGAAAUCUAGGUCCUAGCGACCUCGAGUUGUAAUUUGUAGAGGAUGUUUCGGGUGAGGUAUCGAUCUAAGUUCCUUGGAACAGGGCGUCAUAGAGGGUGAGAAUCCCGUAUGUGACCGAUAUCCAAUCCCAUGUGAAACUCCUUCGACGAGUCGAGUUGUUUGGGAAUGCAGCUCAAAAUGGGUGGUAAAUUUCAUCUAAAGCUAAAUACUGGCCAGAGACCGAUAGCGCACAAGUAGAGUGAUCGAAAGAUGAAAAGCACUUUGGAAAGAGAGUUAAAAAGUACGUGAAAUUGUUGAAAGGGAAGCGCUUGCAGCCAGACUCGCUCGGGGAUGAUCAACCUUCCUUUUGGAUGGUGCACUCUUCCUCGAUCGGGCCAGCAUCGGUUCGGUCGGCUGGAUAAAGGUUCUAGGAACGUAGCUCCUCUCGGGGAGUGUUAUAGCCUAGUUCGUAAUGCAGCCAGACUGGACCGAGGACCGCGCUUUUUGCUAGGAUGCUGGCGUAAUGGCUGUCAGCGACCCGUCUUGAAACACGGACCAAGGAGUCAACCAACCGUGCGAGUGUUUGGGUGUAAAACCCACACGCGUAAUGAAAGUGAACGGAGGUGAGAACCCCUUUAGGGGCGCAUCAUCGACCGAUCCUGAUGUCUUCGGAUGGAUUUGAGUAAGAGCACAGCUGGUUGGACCCGAAAGAUGGUGAACUAUGCGUGAAUAGGGUGAAGCCAGAGGAAACUCUGGUGGAGGCUCGCAGCGGUUCUGACGUGCAAAUCGAUCGUCAAAUUUGCGUAUAGGGGCGAAAGACUAAUCGAACCAUCUAGUAGCUGGUUCCUGC
rnacentral:misc_RNA from 1 species